rnacentral:rRNA from 1 species
AUUGAACGCUGGCGGCAGGCCUAACACAUGCAAGUCGAGCGGAGCGGCGGACGGGUGAGUAAUGCCUAGGAAUCUGCCUGGUAGUGGGUGAUAACGUCCGGAAACGGGCGCUAAUACCGCAUACUAUCAGAUGAGCCUAUGUCGGAUUAGCUAGUUGGUGGGGUAAAGGCAUCCCAAGGCGACGAUCCGUACAUGGUCUGAGAGGAUGAUCAGUCACACGGGAAGUUGUACACGGUCCAGCCUCAUACGGUAGGCAGCAGUGGGGAAGAUUGGACAAUGGGCGAAAGCCUGAUCCAGCCAUGCCGCGUGUGUGAAGAAGGUCUUCGGAUUGUAAAGCACUUUAAGUUGGGAGGCGUUACCAACAGAAUAAGCACCGGCUAACUUCGUGCCAGCAGCCGCGGUAAUAC